rnacentral:rRNA from 1 species
UCCCGCAACGAGCGCAACCCCCUAUCCUUACUUGCCAGCGAAUAAUGUCGGGAACUUUAAGGAGACUGCCGGUGAUAAACCGGAGGAAGGUGGGGACGACGUCAAGUCAUCAUGGCCCUUACGGGACUGGGCUACACACGUGCUACAAUGGCGUAUACAGAGGGCAGCGAGACCGCGAGGUGGAGCGAAUCCCAGAAAGUACGUCGUAGUCCGGAUUGGAGUCUGCAACUCGACUCCAUGAAGUCGGAAUCGCUAGUAAUCGUAAAUCAGAAUGUCACGGUGAACACGUUCCCGGGCCUU